rnacentral:rRNA from 1 species
CCUACGGGGAGCAGCAGUGGGGAAUAUUGCACAAUGGGGGAAACCCUGAUGCAGCGACGCCGCGUGAGUGAAGAAGUAAUUCGUUAUGUAAAGCCCUAUCAGCAGGGAAGAAAAUGACGGUACCUGAGUAAGAAGCCCCGGCUAACUACGUGCCAGCAGCCGCGGGAAUGCGUAGGGGGCAAGCGUUAUCCGGAUUUACUGGGUGUAAAGGGAGCGUAGACGGCAGUGCAAGUCUGGAGUGAAAGGCGGGGGCUCAAACCCCGGACUGCUCUGGAAACUGUACGGCUGGAGUGCAGGAGAGGUAAGUGGAAUUCCUAGGGUAGCGGUGAAAUGCGUAGAUAGUAGGAGGAACACCAGUGGCGAAGGCGGCUUACUGGACUGUAACUGACGUUGAGGCUCGAAAGCGUGGGGAGCAAACAGGAUUAGAUACCCGUGUAGUC